rnacentral:rRNA from 1 species
UACAGAGGGUGCAAGCGUUGUUCGGAAUUAUUGGGCGUAAAGGGUGCGUAGGCGGUGCGGUAAGUCUGUAGUGAAAUCUCUGGGCUCAACUCAGAGUCUGCUAUAGAAACUGCCGUGCUCGAGUAUGGGAGAGGUGAGUGGAAUUCCCGGUGUAGCGGUGAAAUGCGCAGAUAUCGGGAAGAACACCCGUGGCGAAGGCGGCUCUCUGGGACGGUACUGACGCUGAGACGCGAAAGCGUGGGGAGCGAACAGG